rnacentral:rRNA from 1 species
UACAGAGGGGGCAAGCGUUGUUCGGAAUUACUGGGCGUAAAGGGCGCGUAGGCGGCCUGCUAAGUCGAACGUGAAAUCCCCGGGCUCAACCCGGGAACUGCGUCCGAUACUGGUUGGCUUGAAUCCGGGAGAGGGAUGCGGAAUUCCAGGUGUAGCGGUGAAAUGCGUAGAUAUCAGGAGGAACACCGGUGGCGAAGGCGGGUCUCUGGGCCGAUACUGACGCUGAGGCGCGAAAGCGUGGGGAGCAAACGGG